CCGCUGGGUUCUCUGGCUCUCAGUGCAGCCCUUCCUCUCUGAGCAGCAGGCUCUCAAACUGGUUUCUUUCUCAGAUUCUCCUCUUGAAAAUAUACCUUUCCUUCAUCCUUCUUGUUGCAGAUUUCUGGCGGAAAAAUGAGCUUCCCCAUCUCAUCGGUGGCUAAAGGAAGCAUAAGGCUAAUCUUAGAGGUGUGCUCCCCUUACCGUCUCAGCAGGCAAGCAUCACCUUGGAGUUUGCUGGAAUCCACAUUCCCCACCAGACCCCAGUAUGACUGGCUGUCCACUGCUGUGCCUUCCUCGCUGUGAUAAGCCUUCAAUCUGUGCGCCAAGAUCAGCUUUCCUUCCUAAAGACGCUUUCUCUGGUGU
rnacentral:lncRNA from 1 species